rnacentral:rRNA from 1 species
UGGGGAAUAUUGCGCAAUGGGGGCAACCCUGACGCAGCCAUGCCGCGUGAAUGAAGAAGGCCUUCGGGUUGUAAAGUUCUUUCGGUAGCGAGGAAGGCACUUAGUUUAAUAGACUAGGUGAUUGACGUUAACUACAGAAGAAGCACCGGCUAACUCCGUGCCAGCAGCCGCGGUAAUACGGAGGGUGCGAGCGUUAAUCGGAAUAACUGGGCGUAAAGGGCACGCAGGCGGUGACUUAAGUGAGGUGUGAAAGCCCCGGGCUUAACCUGGGAAUUGCAUUUCAUACUGGGUCGCUAGAGUACUUUAGGGAGGGGUAGAAUUCCACGUGUAGCGGUGAAAUGCGUAGAGAUGUGGAGGAAUACCGAAGGCGAAGGCAGCCCCUUGGGAAUGUACUGACGCUCAUGUGCGAAAGCGUGGGGAGCAAACAGGAUUAGAUACCCUGGUAGUCCACGCUGUAAACGAUGUCGAUUUGGGGGUUGAACUUUAGGUUUGGCGCCCGUAGCUAACGUGAUAAAUCGACCGCCUGGGGAGUACGGCCGCAAGGUUA